rnacentral:rRNA from 1 species
GCGANGAGGAAAGGUAGGUAGUUAAUAACUGCUUACUGUGACGUUACUCGCAGAAGAAGCACCGGCUAACUUCGUGCCAGCAGCCGCGGUAAUACGAGGGGUGCAAGCGUUAAUCGGAAUUACUGGGCGUAAAGCGUACGCAGGCGGUUUGUUAAGCAAGAUGUGAAAGCCCCGGGCUCAACCU